GGGUGUGUAGCUCAACUGGUAGAGCACUAGACUUUUAAUCUAGGGGUCGCGGGUUCGAGCCCCGCCGCACCCACCA
rnacentral:tRNA from 1 species